rnacentral:rRNA from 1 species
CGUACACUCCACGGGAGGCAGCAGUGGGGAAUUUUGGACAAUGGGCGAAAGCCUGAUCCAGCAAUGCCGCGUGAGUGAAGAAGGCCUUCGGGUUGUAAAGCUCUUUUGUCAGGGAAGAAACGGUGAAAGCUAAUAUCUUUUGCUAAUGACGGUACCUGAAGAAUAAGCACCGGCUAACUACGUGCCAGCAGCCGCGGUAAUACGUAGGGUGCAAGCGUUAAUCGGAAUUACUGGGCGUAAAGCGUGCGCAGGCGGUUUUGUAAGUCUGAUGUGAAAUCCCCGGGCUCAACCUGGGAAUUGCAUUGGAGACUGCAAGGCUAGAAUCUGGCAGAGGGGGGUAGAAUUCCACGUGUAGCAGUGAAAUGCGUAGAUAUGUGGAGGAACACCGAUGGCGAAGGCAGCCCCCUGGGUCAAGAUUGACGCUCAUGCACGAAAGCGUGGGGAGCAAACAGGAUUAGAUACCCGAGUAGUCCCAUGAU